rnacentral:misc_RNA from 1 species
UCACGUCUUACGACGGCAGUUUCACUAGAGUUCCCAGCGUUACCUGAUGGCAACUAGUGAUGGGGGUUGCGCUCGUUGCGGGACUUAACCCAACACCUCACGGCACGAGCUGACGACAGCCAUGCACCGCCUGUUAUGGGCCCUUUCGGACACCACAUCUCUGUGGCUUUUCCCAUAAUGUCAAACCCAGGUAAGGUUCUUCGGGUCGCAUCGAAUUAAGCCGCAUGCUCCGCCGCUUGUGCGGGGACCCGUCAAUUCCUUUGAGUUUUAGCCUUGCGGCCGUACUCCCCAGGCGGGGCACUUAAUGCGUUAGCUGCGGCACCCAAGGGGUCAAUACCUCGGACACCUAGUGCCCAUCGUUUACAGCCAGGACUAC